GUCAAUGUUUGGUUAUCCCCAAACCUCCUGACUUUGGGUUCUUUCUUCUAAUGAAACAAAGGGGCUCCAAGUGACAGGGCCAAGGCUAUGGAGUGACAUUUCACCCUUACCCUACGGCCCCACAUUGCUCCUCAGCCAUCUGAGCCCCCAAAGAAAUGGUGACAGUACCCCUGUCACCCAUGGAAGACUAGAGAGGCACCUUGCUUAUUCAGAGCAUGAUUGCCCCAGACCAGAAAGAAGUGGAAGAAACAGACCCUCCAAAGAAGAUGAGAAGAAAGAAGGGGGCCCGCGGAGAGUGCAGUCUGCUGAUGUCCUGAUGAUAUCAGCAGCAGAGAGAGCAUUGUCACAGUGAACAGUCUUGGUUCCCAGGUAAAGGGCUUCAUGAUUGGCUCCAUUUUUUACAGAUGUGAACACCAAGGAGCAGACUGGGGAGAAGGGAAAGGUGCUUGGCCAAGGCAAGACUCAGUGGCCCCAAAUUCAGGUCCAGGUCACCCUGGCAGCAUCCCUGUGGGCUCAGCGGAGCUGGGUAGAGCACAGCAGAAAGGAGCUGUUUUCUGCAUUUGGCUUGUGAUGUUUGUUACCUGCAGCAUGUGGUCAGAUAAGACACUGGAAGAGAGGUUCCUUCCCACCUCUUACAAGGGUGACUUCCUCCUCGGCAUGGCUUUCUGCGAGAGGUCACCACUUGCUUCCUUGGGCCUGAGUGAAGAAUCAGUGCCUUUCCUCCACAGUGUGAAGACACAGGACGAGUCUGGAGUGCAUUAGAGAAGCCAGGAGAAGUCGCUCCUUGUGAUGCUGAAGUCAGGGAAGAAGUGAAGACCGUGGGUGGAAAUGAGAAGCAUUCAACCAUAAAUUAACGUAAACCCGGGGUCAUCCCACAUACAGCCCUGGCAAUAAGGGAAUUCACAAUGUAGAAGAAGAAGUGUGUCAGGCAUUAAACACCAGGUCAGGCUGCAGAGAAAUCCAGACACCAGGAAAAUUUCUCAUGGGAAAUCUACUGUCUGCCCUCCACAGGGUGUGAGUCUUGGCCUUCAGAACAAGCUAUCACGGUUGUGGUGACCUUUGGUGUUCUCUAAGCUAUCUGAGGUCACAGGUUCAAUGUUACCUUUGGGUUUCUACAUGCAGGUGACUACAAUGAGCCUCUGGAGCCGCCUUCUCUUCAGGAAGUAGGUUCGUUUUGAAAUGAAUGUGUGUAUGGGGCGGGGGCUCAGAUCGUUAACUCCCUUGGAGUGACAGGGAAGAGGGAAGAGAGGGACUGAAUUAACUGAAAUUAGACUUGGAGAAUGUAAGAAGUGUCAACUCUCAUGUGCAGAAGUGGAAGACUUUCCAUUUAGAAGAACAAGGUCACUUAGAAGGCACAGUGGUAUUGGGCUGGAGAGGCGACUCACUAUUUAGGGUCACUGGCUGCUCGAGCUGGAGACCAUUGCUUGGUUCCCAGUACCCACAUGGCAGCUAGCUCACCCCUGUCUAUAAUACUAGUUUCAGAGGAUCCAAUACCAUGCACAGUAUUGGGCAUGCGUGUGGUGUGCAUACUCAUAUCAUUCACGCAUACAAUAAAAUAAAUAAAAAUUUAAAAACCAAAGGAAAAAGAAAAAGAAGGUAAACCAGCACUUAUGUAUUGGGUACUUGCUAUGUGAUGUGUCGGCAGGCUGACAGUGCUGAGCAGUGUUAGACCCUGGGGAUCCAGCUGUCCCUGCUUCCUUAGUGCUGGGGUCACAGGCAUGUGCCAUCCUGUUUGUCUUCAUACUUGUGGGAAAGCACUUUAACAAGCAAGCCAUCUCCUUGGCCCCUGACCUCUGGCCCCCGACCCCUGAUCUUUAUAAAGAGAGCCAUGACUGAAAACACGAGGCUCACAAACUACACACUGCAGGGCAGCAACUUCCUUUUCCCAGUGCACACAGUAGGGCAGGGGGUGCUGCAGAUGGCUUUAGUUGAGGAAACCUGCUUCUGUUACGACCUAGGGUCAUAGCUGCUGUCUGUACAGAUCAACCCAGCCUUUGAGUCCCACAGGUCGCCUGCAGAGGCCAUCGGAGACUCCUUCCACACUUGAACCUUGAGAGCAGAGGUCUCUGCAUCCCUGGUUGUGUGUUUAAGCUUGAAACAGCAUCUGUCUGUAAGGAAAUGCUUAGUGUGGGUGAGGCUGAAGUCUCUGACUAUUGGGUAACUUUAUUCCUGCUUUCAGAUCCUGGCUUCAGCUGCCUUCCCUGCCUCCUUUUUUUUUUUUUCCUAGCUUAGCAAAUGGAAGACCCUUCCCCAGUAAAGAUGUCUUUGAACUUAUGAAUAAAUCGAUUGCCACAUCUUCCCUGAAGCCUGGGACUCUAAGUUGACUUUGCCACUCGCUUCUAAAGCUUGCACCCAAGAGAGGGAAACUAACAAACUUCACUCCUUUGCUUACUUCACGGCUGAACAAUAAAUAUUUGGGCAAGCCCUGGGAACUCUGGAAAGAGAAACAACUCAGCUCUCCUCCAUGAGUCUCACCUGUCUCUCAGAUCAAAGUAUCACAGACACAGAGAGAGGGACCCUUCUCUCUAGGGACCUGUUCACAUGCCUCUCUCCACAGCACAUGGAGGCUUUGCUUCUGAGAGCUUGGGUGGCCAGGUGAGCAGCUGCUGUUCAGCACCUCUAUGAAGACACAGUGGCUGGAACUCUGAUAGCAGGAGCUUAAGGAGACAGAUUAAGGACCUUUUUGCAGGAGCUGGCUGCUUGCGAGUUUUCCUUACUUCUUGUCCCCCCUUUUUUAUCCCUCGUGCUUUCGAGUAUUUGGUGGUGAUCGUGAAAAUUGGCACUCAUUUACAGAAAUGCCCCUUGGGGACUUCAGGUAUUGCAACUGGAUAAAACAUAUAUUGGCUUCAGAAUGGAGAGGAAAGCCCUUUAUUCAGUACACAUAGAUGGGUAAACGCUAGCAUGUAUCCGAUGCCUUAAACCAUGUUUGUUCUCAGUCCCUGGGAUGCCAGUGUUCAAACUUCGGAUGUAAUUAGGACGCUGUGCAAGGAUGUGUUUUCAAGGAUGCUAACUAUAGCUGCUCUGUCUGACUGUUAAACUGAGAAACUGUCUAGAUGUUCAAUAACUGGGAUUGAUCGAAUGAAUGAAGGCACAGAAAUAUAAUAAAGCACAUAUAAUUG
rnacentral:lncRNA from 1 species